rnacentral:rRNA from 1 species
GAAAGUAAGCAAGGGCGCAUGGCGGAUGCCUUGGCUCUCGGAGGCGAUGAAGGACGUGAUAAGCUGCGAUAAGCUUCGGGCAGGUGCAAAUAACCUUUGAUCCGAAGAUUUCCGAAUGGGACAACCCGGCAUUCUGAAGGAAUGUCAUCCAUCCUAGAUGGAAGCUAACGCAGGGAACUGAAACAUCUUAGUACCUGUAGGAAAAGAAAAUAAUAAUGAUUCCCCUAGUAGUGGCGAGCGAACGGGGAUUAGCCCAAACCAAUGUUGUUACGGCAAUAUUGGGGUUGUAGGACCACGAUGUCGCAAGAAAUUUAGUGAGAAGAACCCUUUGGAAAAUGGGACCAUAGACGGUGAUAGUCCGGUAUUCGAAGCUAAAUGAAGCGUAGUGGUAUCCUGAGUAGCGCGGGACACGAGGAAUCUUGCGUGAAUCUGCCGGGACCAUCCGGUAAGGCUAAAUACUCCCGAGAGACCGAUAGCGAACCAGUACCGUGAGGGAAAGGUGAAAAGCACUUCGAACAGAAGAGUGAAAUAGUUCCUGAAACCGUGCGCCUACAAGCGGUCGGAGCUCGUUAAUGAGUGACGGCGUGCCUUUUGCAUAAUGAACCUACGAGUUGCCUUUGCCGGCAAGGUUAAGUGUGACGACACACGUAUCCGAAGCGAAAGCGAGUCUGAACAGGGCGUAUAGUCGGCAGUGGCAGACGCGAAACCAAGUGAUCUACCCUUGGCCAGGUUGAAGGCUGGGUAACACCAGCUGGAGGACCGCACCAAUAAGCGUUGAAAAGCUUCUGGAUGAGCUGAGGGUAGGGGUGAAAGGCUAAUCAAACUUGGAGAUAGCUCGUACUCCCCGAAAUGCAUUUAGGUGCAGCCUUGCGGGUUACUGAUGUGAGGUAGAGCGACUGAUAAGAUGCGAGGGCUUCACCGCCUAUCAAGUCUUGACAAACUCCGAAUGCGCAUCAGUUCUACCGCAGGAGUGAGGGCAUGGGUGCUAAGGUCCGUGCCCGAGAGGAGAAGAAUCCGGACCACCUGCUAAGGUCCCGAAAUGACAGCUAAGUUAAACUAACGAAGUCUGACUGCUAAGACAGCUAGGAUGUUGGCUUGGAAGCAGCCAUUCAUUUAAAGAGUGCGUAACAGCUCACUAGUCGAGGAGUCGGGCGUGGAUAAUAAUCGGGUAUCAAGUUGUCUACCGAAGCAGUGGGAUCAUUGAUAUGAUCGGUAGGGGAGCAUUCCAGUCGGCGUCGAAGGCGUACCGUGAGGUAUUCUGGAGCGUCUGGAAAAGCAAAUGUAGGUAUAAGUAACGAUAAAGGGGGCGGGAAACCCCCUCGCCGAAAGACUAAGGUUUCCUGAUCAACGCUAAUCGGAUCAGGGUCAGUCGGGUCCUAAGGCUCAGCCGAACGGCGAUGCCGAUGGCAGAAACGGUUAAUAUUCCGUUACUACCUUCAGGAGUGACGUGGAGACGCAGUAGUGACAGUGCCGCCAUCUGACGGAAUAGAUGGUUGAAGGGUGUAGGAGUCGAUCAUGGCAGGCAAAUCCACCAUGAGAUCCGAACCUGAUAGUAUGCCGCGUCCUUCGGGACAAGGCAAUAGUGCGCGUAAGCAUGCUGCCGAGAAAAUCCGCUAAACUUAAUCCUGCAGGUACCCGUACCGCAAACGGACACACGUAGUCGGGAUGAAUAUUCUAAGGCGCUUGAGUGAUUCACGGUUAAGGAACUAGGCAAACUGACCCUGUAACUUCGGGAUAAAGGGUCCCUACCCUUUUAUGGGAGGGCGCAGAGAAUCGGUCCAGGCAACUGUUUAACAAAAACACAGGGCUGUGCCAAAUCGAAAGAUCCAGUAUACAGCCUGACACCUGCCCGGUGCUGGAAGGUUAAGAGGAGAUGUCAUCGAUAAGAGAAGCGUUGAAUUGAAGCCCCAGUAAACGGCGGCCGUAACUAUAACGGUCCUAAGGUAGCGAAAUUCCUUGUCGGGUAAGUUCCGACCUGCACGAAUGGUGUAAUGAUCUGGACGCUGUCUCAACCGUGAGCUCAGUGAAAUUGUAGUAUCGGUGAAGAUGCCGAUUACCCGCGAUGGGACGAAAAGACCCCGUGAACCUUUACUAUAGCUUAUCAUUGAAUCUGGGCACGUGAUGUGUAGGAUAGGUCGGAGGCUUUGAAGCAGGUACGCCAGUAUUUGUGGAGCCGCUGUUGAAAUACGACCCUUUAUUUGUUUGGAUUCUAACCCGUGGAACGGGGACAUUGAUUGGUGGGUAGUUUGACUGGGGUGGUCGCCUCCAAAAGCGUAACGGAGGCUUCUAAAGGUGCCCUCCGGCCGAUUGGUAACCGGCCUUAGAGUGUAAUGGCAUAAGGGCGCUUGACUGGGAGACUGACAAGUCGAUCAGGUAGGAAACUAGAGCAUAGUGAUCCGGUGUUUCCGUAUGGA